UACGGAGGGUGCAAGCGUUAUCCGGAGUUCACUGGGUUUAAAGGGCGCGUAGGUCGGUCGGAUAAGUCUUGUGUGAAAUCUUCGGGCUCAACUCGAAGUCUGCACAGGAAACUAUCUGGCUUGAGGUGUGGGAGAGGUGAGUGGAAUUCCUGGUGUAGCGGUGAAAUGCGUAGAUAUCAGGAGGAACACCUGUGGCGAAAGCGGCUCACUGGACCACAACUGACGCUGAGGCGACGAAAGCUAGGGGAGCAAACAGG
rnacentral:rRNA from 1 species